GGGCCCGCACAAGCGGUGGAGCAUGUGGUUUAAUUCGAUGAUACGCGAGGAACCUUACCAGGGCUUAAAUGUAGAACGACCGAUUUGGAAACAAGUCUUCUCUUUGAGCGGUCUACAAGGUGCUGCAUGGUUGUCGUCAGCUCGUGCCGUGAGGUGUCGGGUUAAGUCCCUUAACGAGCGCAACCCCUAUCUCUAGUUGCCAGCGGAUAAUGCCGGGGACUCUAGAGAAACUGCCCGUGCAAACGGUGAGGAAGGUGGGGAUGACGUCAAAUCAUCACGGCCCUUACGUCCUGGGCUACACACGUGCUACAAUGGUCGGUACAGAGGGCAGCUACCACGUGAGUGGAUGCAAAUCUCGAAAGCCGAUCUCAGUUCGGAUCGGAGUCUGCAACUCGACUCCGUG
rnacentral:rRNA from 1 species